UUAGCUAUUAUAUAAUUCUCAGACUACAGUUUGUCAUGAAUUUAAGGUCUUCUGGCAGGCAACAGACCAGCCAAAGCCGGUGGCCAUAAAGCGGGCCUGCCAAAGCAACAAAGGUAAAAUAAGCAAAGGAUGGGAGAUCUACCCAAUAAGGGCAUGUUCUCUGUAAUGAUCCUUCCGCAGGUUCACCUACGGAAA
rnacentral:misc_RNA from 1 species